UACAUCAAAAUUCAAUACCAGGGAGCACCCGGGCGCCAGGCAAGUAGCAGCGGCCUGAGUCCCACACCAACGACGACUGCCGUGCCAGGUACCCGCUGCCCACUGACCACGCGCCAGGCGGCACGUAGACAGUGAAUGUCGGAGGUGUACUACUGUCGAACACUGAGUGUGUCUUGUAGUGGUGCUGUGGCCGACGUGACUACUGUAAUUCUCCUGCCGCCGCCCGAAGGGACGCUUGGUGCCUUAAAAUGAUGACAGCUGGAAGUGUGUGCAGGUUGGCAGCGCUCACAACUACAUGAAUAUAUUCAUGAUUAUAGAUCUCUGAUUACAUAAGUAAGGUUAGUGAAAUCCUACUUAAAGGAAUGAAUAACGGACGCCAAAAUAUAUUACAAAGAGGGAAACUAUAAAAAGUAGUUAGGUAGUAUGAGAAGCUGUUUACUUAUCACCAGUAACAAAUUGUUCACGAAAAGCUCCCUGGUGUGUGGCGUGGCGUGGUCAUGCAGCUCCACCCAUGGCCCUCCACAUCCACUGGCCUACAUACAUACAAGUCAGUCACGCUGCUACCUCAGAAAAUAACUGCACAUCUAAUCACUAUAAAAUGGACACCAUUAUUGGACACUGUUACCACCACCUCUCCCUCCUUACUCCGCCCACGCGGCCACGCCUCCCUUCUCUCCUGUCUCUCCCUGCAGAGGAACACUUCACAUUCAGGUGCUUGCAGUGUAAAAACAAUUCCAGGCGCGUCAAUUAAGUAGGACAUUAAUGGCGAGCAGGAGUCUCUUGAUACACCCGGGCAUCUUUAUUAUCAUAGGUGCGCAUCCUCGUAAAAAUGAAGCGCAAGUAAAAAUAAAAAUACUAGUAAAUUUCAAUACUGCGGUAUGUACGUACGCGUCCUCAUAAAAUAUAGCGAAUGUAAAUAAAUUAAUAAAUAAACGAAAAAGAAAA